GAGCGGCGGGCGGGGAGGAGGGGGCGGAUUGGAAUGCCGCGGCACCAGGCUAGGUUGGAACCUCCCUCGGCUGCUGCUGGGAUGGUCCACGCACUGGCGCCGUCACGUGUUUCUCUCCUUGGAGUGAGACUGAGUCUCGGUGGCGGCUGGAGGGGGCCGGACUCAUAAACACAGACACCGCCGCUUGUUUGGGUUUGGGGCGCUGCGAAACUCCGAGAAGCAGCCGGAGGAGGAGAAGUCAGCCAGGCAGCCCCAGACCCGCCUUCAGCCUGGGGCAGGGGAGGGGGCUUUGCUGUUGGCCUCGGCGCCUUUCCCGACUGGAAUGAGGAGGAGGAGGAAGAGAGGAUGUUCCUUCCCCACUUGGGCUGCUUCCCCUCCUGCUGCUGCCUGGUUGCAUUUUGUGUUGAAAUGGCACUUUCUCUUCCUAACGAGAUGGGACUGAAUGGGGUCGCCAGCCUCCUCACGCAUAAGCAGAAGAAGCAGCCUCGGCGCUGAUUUUUGGGCUGGGCUGUGUUUUUAGGGGGGGAGAAGAGGCGUGUGUUUUGGGGUGUAAGCCCCGGACUUUGCAAAACAAACCGCUACCCAGAGGAUCUUUAAUCUGUUACAGAGAUUGCGCUCGCUGAGGCGAAGUUGUGAAGGGGAGGGUGUUUUGGAGCAAAGCAAGGGGGACCCCCUUCCUGCUCCUCUCUACAGAGGAAUCCGACCCAUACGACUGAAAGAUGCGUUUCUUUUCCUCCCCGGCGGCGGCUGCUGGGAGAGCUAGACUUUCAUCUGGACUGACUGAGACUGGACUCUUUAAGGAUAUAUUGACCCUCCUGAGGGUGAUUUGGGCAUAAACAGCAAUAUAAACGCUGCUGUGGUGCUGGAAGCUGCCUCUGCCACUGAACAGCUGCUCUCACCCUGCCAGUAUCCCCUCCCCCCCAUCCCGUUUUGGAGAGGGGAUUCCGAGCUAGUUUGCUUUUUUAUUAUGAUUGUUGUUGCAUGAAUAGUAUUUUCAGAGGUGGGUUUUUUUUCUGCCUUGCUUGGCAGUUUUGGGGGCCUGUGGGCUGAUAGCUGCGGUAAAAACACCACCACCUCUCCUUCCACUAUGGCUAGCCCCACGGAUAAUAAUGAGGGCUUCUUCUCAGAUGUCAGGAAGGUGGGUUACUUGCGCAAACCCAAGAGCAUGCAUAAACGCUUCUUCGUGCUGAGGGCAGCCAGCGAGUCAGGACCUGCCCGGCUGGAGUACUAUGAGAAUGAGAAGAAAUGGAGACAUAAGUCAGGAGCCCCCAAGCGUUCCAUCCCACUGGAGAGCUGCUUCAACAUCAACAAACGGGCAGACUCCAAGAACAAGCACCUGGUGGCCCUCUAUACCAAGGACGAGCACUUUGCCAUUGCAGCUGACAGCGAGCCUGAGCAGGAGAGCUGGUACCAAGCCUUGCUGCAGUUGCACAAUCGGGCCAAGGGCCACCACCACCUCCAUCAUCAUCGUCACCACCACCACCACAGUGAUGUCUCCUUUGGGGGUGGCAGUGCAGGGCUGGGGGAGACAGGUGACGAUAGCUAUGGCGAGGUGGUGCCUGGUCCGGCUUUCAAGGAGGUUUGGCAAGUGAUCCUGAAACCUAAAGGUCUGGGCCAGACCAAGAACUUGAUCGGCAUCUACCGCCUGUGCCUGACCAACAAAACCAUCAGCUUUGUGAAGCUGAACUCAGAUGCAGCUGCUGUGGUACUGCAGCUGCUCAACAUCCGCCGCUGUGGCCACUCAGAGAACUUCUUUUUCAUAGAGGUUGGGCGUUCAGCGGUGACUGGGCCUGGUGAGUUCUGGAUGCAGGUGGAUGAUUCAGUGGUGGCACAGAACAUGCAUGAGACCAUCUUGGAAGCCAUGCGAGCCAUGAGUGAGGAAUUCCGGCCCCGCAGCAAGAGCCAGUCCUCUUCCAACUGCUCCAAUCCCAUCUCUGUGCCCCUCCGCAGCAGACACCAUGUCAACAACCCCCCACCCAGCCAGGUGGGGCUCAGUCGCAGGUCCAGGACUGAGAGUGUGACUGCUACCUCCCCUGCUGGGGGUGGUGGUGGUGGAGGAGGAACAGGGGGCAAACCCAGCUCUUUCCGAGUCCGAGCCUCUAGUGAUGGGGAAGGAACUAUGUCCAGGCCUGCCUCUGUGGAUGGCAGCCCAGUAAGUCCCAGUGCCAACCGGACCCACUCACAUCGGCACCGUGGCAACUCCAGGCUUCACCCUCCACUCAACCACAGUCGCUCCAUCCCAAUGCCUUCUUCACGCUGUUCCCCUUCAGCCACCAGUCCAGUCAGCCUGUCAUCUAGCAGCACCAGUGGCCAUGGCUCCACCUCAGACUGCCUCUUCCCACGCAGGUCCAGUGCUUCGGUAUCAGGCUCCCCCAGUGAUGGUGGUUUCAUCUCCUCCGACGAAUAUGGCUCUAGCCCCUGCGAUUUCCGCAGCUCUUUUCGCAGUGUGACUCCAGACUCUCUGGGUCACACCCCGCCAGCACGGGGGGAUGAGGAGCUCAACAACUACAUUUGUAUGGGGGGCAAGGCUGCCUCGUCCUGCAGCUUGGCAGCUCCCAAUGGCCACUUCAUCCCUCGCAGUUGCCACCCACAGCAUCAGCAGUGCCGCUAUCCUGGCACCCCAUGCUGCCCCCGGAGUGGUGGAGAGGAGGUAACUGACCUGGAGAAGGGCUUCAGGAAGCGGACUCACUCUGCAGGCACCUCACCCACCAUCUCCCACCAGAAGACACCCUCACAGUCUUCAGUGGCCUCUAUUGAGGAGUACACGGAAAUGCUGCCUUCCUAUCCUUGUGGUGGCAACCGGCUGCCCUCCUACCGGCACUCUGCCUUUGUGCCCACUCACUCCUAUCCUGAGGAGCAUUUGGAGAUGCACCAUUUGGAGGGCAGCCACCACCGGACCAACUCCACCCCACACACUGAUGACGGCUACAUGCCAAUGUCGCCUGGGGUGGCCCCUGUGCCCAGCAGUGGUGGCACACCCAAAGGUGGUGACUAUAUGCCCAUGAGCCCCAAGAGCGUGUCAGCCCCACAGCAGAUCAUCAACCCUGGCAGGGGGGGUCGCCACGCCCAAGCCAUGGUGGACUCCAAUGGGUACAUGAUGAUGUCCCCUAGCGGCAGCUGUUCACCUGACGGUGGUCCUGCCGGCUACGGCAAAAUGUGGACUAAUGGGGCUGGCCACCACCCAAAGCUCUCGGUAGAGAGCAGCGAAGGGAAGCUCCCCUGCAGCGGCAGUGACUACAUCAACAUGUCCCCAGCCAGCGGCUCCGCCACCAGCACCCCCCCGGACUGCUACUUCGCCACCUCGGAGCCGCCGGGCCCGGAGGAGGCCUCGGCGCAGGGCCCGGCCGAGCCCCCUCACAAGCCCAUCUACUCCUACUUCUCCCUGCCGCGCUCCUUCAAACACGUGCAGCGCAGGGCAGCCGAGGAGAGCGGCCCCCAGCUGCGCAUCUCCCUCAGCUCCGGCCGCUUGCUCUACGCCGCGGAGGACUCGUCCUCUUCCACCAGCAGCGACAGCCUCGGGGGAGGCGGGGGCCAAGAGGGCGCCGGAGGUCCCUACCAGGCGCAGCCCCCGCCGCAGCAGCCUACCCGUCAGGCGGCCGCGCAGAGUAGGAGCCGCCUGACCAGACCCACCCGCUUGUCCCUGGACGGCCCCAAGGCCAGCACUCUGCCGCGGGCGCGGGAGCAGCCCCCGCUGCUGCUGCCGCCGGAGCCCAAGAGCCCCGGCGAGUACGUGAACAUUGAGUUCGUGGCCAGUGACAAGCCGGCUUUCCCGUCGGCCGCGCGGCCCCGAGGGGACGAAGGCUCCGAGUACAUGAACAUGGAGCUGGGGCCGCCGCGGGCUGCCUGCCAAGCCGGCUUCGCAGCCGUACGGGCGGCAGCUGCGGCCCGGCCAGGCCGAGGAGCUGCUGCCCUCAGCAGCCGGGACUAUGUGACUAUGGAACAGGGGGGCGGUGUCGGGGGGCCCUGCCCGGGCUGCGCCGACCCCCCGUCCCCCGCGCUCUUGCUCAACUACGCCGACAUGCGGACGGGCCGUGCCGUCCCGGAGAACUCCCCUGCUGCCCCUGCCUCCGCCCAGGCGCAGCCGCCGGCCGAGCUGGCAGCGGCGCCACCGCGCUCCUCCUCCCUGAUGGGAGGCCCGGGGGUGAACAGCGCCUUCACCCGCGUCAGCCUCAGCCCCAGCCCCGGCCGCAAUCAGAGCGCCAAAGUGAUCCGCGCCGACCCGCAGGGGGGCCGCCGGCGGCACAGCUCCGAGACCUUCUCCUCCACCCCCAGCAACGCCCGCGGCACGGCGGGCAGCGGCGGCCUCAACGCGCCCUUGCUCUACGGGGCGGGGGGCGCCGAGGAGGUGAAACGCCACAGCUCGGCCUCCUUCGAGAACGUCUGGCUCCGGCCUGCCUCCGGGGAGCUGGGGGCGGCCGCCAGGAGGGAGCAGCAGCCCCUCGGGGCCGGGGGUGGCUUUGAGAACGGACUCAACUACAUCGACCUGGACUUAGUGAAGGAUUUUAAUCAGCGUCGCCAACACCCCCACCACCCCCAGGAGGGCACCUCUGCGCUGGGGGGGAGGCAGCCGCCGCCGCCGCCCAGAGCCCCUAAUCAGCCUUGUGGGAGUAGCCACUCUAGCGACGAUUUGAGUGCAUAUGCCAGCAUCAGCUUCCAGAGGCGGGAGGACGUCUAAUAGCUGGGCAAGAGCCAGAGAGAAGAAUGAUGACCUAUACAACCUCAGCAAAUCCUUCUUUUAACUCAUGGGUAUCCAGACUAUAAAUGUUACAUGAAUCACAACUAGGACCUCACAUCCUCCUCCUCGUCCAUAGAUGGGUAUGAUGCAUCCAGUUCAGUUUGUUUACUUUACACAAACCUCAGGAGUUAGUUGACUGAACUGCACAUUCUAUGUUGUGCCAAGCAAAAGCACUGUGACACCUGGACAAUGAGUCUCUAUUACUUCAUCCUCUACCAUAAGGACUUAGCUGGACACAAUGAACUGAUGUGCCCACCACUAUGUCAUGGCCAGCCCGCAGACUCUGUGCUGAGUUUGUGUUCCUUCCAGCUCCCUCGGAGUGGGUGGAUCAGUGCAGCCCAGCCCAGCCCAGCCUGCCAUUUACUACAUCAUCUUCUGGCUUUCCUCAGCUGCACAGCAGAACAGUCUAGCUCAGCCUGCCAGCCUGCCUGUGCCAGUACACCUCCUGCGUUCAUUCCAGCUCCCUCAGAGUGUUUGAGUGUCCUCCUCCAGCCUGCCGUUUCACUCCCCUUCCGCUGGCUUCUCUCGGUAAUUCAGCAUAGAGGUCUAUCCCCUAACGCCAGCCUUUCUGCCAUCCAGAUAGUGGGGUCCUGCAGGAACAGGUUGGACUCCCCCAAUUGUAUUCCAUCUCCCAUGAUGCACUACAGCCAUAGGAUUGCCAUGAUGCACUGCCUCCCCUCUUAAAGAGUAAAGACCAUGGGUGGUGUGAAAGUAAAGAGGAGAGUCGUCACGUUUGCAGCAGCCAUUACUAUUGUAAGGAUUCUACAAAAAGAGGAAUUUUGUUUGUUCCAAGAGGUCAUCUGCUUCUUCUCCUUAUUCCUCAUCUGAAAUGAAUGAUGUCAGAAUCCAGAGAUGUAAGAUGAAUUUUCCUAGCCAAUUUCCAAUCUGAAAGGCUCCAAAAUAGAACAGCAAUAUUUGACUCCAUCUAAACUCCAUUCCACAGCUUACUAUCAGCCAUGGGAAUUUACAAGCAUUCCAAAGAGGCUGAGGAAAUCCAGGAAACCACAAUGACAGCUCUACUUGAAAAAGACCAUUAUAUGAUAGUGACUUGAGAGAGAAAAUACAGCAUAUUUUACCUCCUUCAUGAAAGAUUAGAAAUAUCACUUAUAUUAAACUGUUUGGUUUAAUAAAUGAUUUGGUUUUAAUUAGAGCUGGCCAGGAAUUUUUUGAUAGAAUGUUUUUUGUUGGAAAAUGACAGUUUGUUGAAACCAAAACUUUGUGCAGGAAUGUAGCAGGUUCAACAACGUUUUCAAGAGAGGUUUCUGAGGUACAAGAUGGAAUAUGUAGUCCCAGAGGGAGGGAGACAGACAGACAGAUACCAGAACAGCUGGGACUUGGGAGGCCUGUGUUCAAGACCUUGAUCCAAAUCAACUACAGUGGGGAUUCAAACCUGGGUCUUACACAUUGCAGGUGAGUUUCCUAAUACAAGGCUAUUCUGGGGCCCCUCUCUGUGUGGGGGGGAAACUUCAGAAGGUCUGUUUUGUUCCAAAGUGCAACAGAAAAUUUUUUGAAAUCUUAAAAAUUUUUGUGGGACAGGAGAACCAUUUCCCUACUAGCUCUAGUUAUAAUGCCUUGUGGGGAGACAUUUGUUUGCAUCAACUGGGAUUUUCCAUAUAAAGGUCAUAGUGAUUGACUUCUUGGAGAUAUGGCUACGUUCUUACUUAUGUCUUGCUGUAUCAUGUGCAAACUUUUUUUGAAAUGUACCAUUUGUUCUCUUUAAGUAAUUUACACAUUAUAGGCAAGAAGCCUCCUCAGAGAAAUUACUGGUUAUUUUCCCAUCCAUAUGUUUAACAAUGAGCUUGGUGUGAUGCUGUGUAUAAGAAAGAUGAUCAUUUGUAUCAUUGUUUCUACCACUGUUAUACAAUUGCAACAAAUCUUGUAUAAACGUAUGUCAUGUAAGGUGUCAAUGGAAAAGUUCGGAUUUACGAAGUAUGAUUAUUCUGUUUAUAUGCAUGUAUCAUCUUUGUAUGUGAAGUUAUGAAUAUUGGCUAUGGACUUGUGUCUUAAACGUGUGUUGUAUUCCUGGGUGACACCCCUCAGCAGAAUUUACAUCAGGGCUAGACAGCGAUGUGUUGAUGGCCCAUCAAGGACACUCCACUCUCAGAAUGGGUCAUUGAAGAAACUCAUGCUGCCCAGUAGGUCUUUCUGCAGAUGCCUCAGACAGCGAGGAGCCAAUGGCCAUCCCCUGUGAUUCAGCAAAACAUGUAGGGGUAUGUGAUAUGCUCAUGUGAUCCUGGACUCCAUCUUGGCCAGAAACUUUCCACAGACAGGGGCUGUGGGUUUUGUUUGGAACAGUAAAUUUCCAUGCACAUGACAGAGGGUAUAAAAAGACGCCCGAGACACCUCCACAUUGCCUCUUUCCUGCUCUAAUUCUCUGCAUUGUGGAUUUACAACUAAAAGGAGUACCUUGAACUAUGGACUGAGCACCUUCCAAUCUUUUGGAACUUGCCAGAGAGACUUUAAAAGCCAGCAGUCUAUUUCACCACUGCGACAUUAAAUCAUUUGUAUGUAUGUGAUCUAUUAACCUUUUAUAACUCUCUUCUUUUCUUUUAUUAUUUAAUCUUUAGUUAGUUUACUAAGGAUUGUCUGACAUUGUGAUAUUUGGGUAAAGUCUGAGAUUCAUAUUGACAGAAAGAAUCUCGCUUAUGGUGAAAUGGGUUUUCAAUAACCUCUCACUAUAUUAGAUUGGGUUGCCUGGAUGGGAGCCAAGGGCUGGAAUGCCUAAAGGGGAAUGUGUUUGGCUUCUGGUUAACCAGUGUGGUACUGCAGAUGCUCUUUUGUUACUGAUUUGGUGAAUCUAAUUAUAAAGUAAACCACCAGAUUUGGGGAUUGUCUGCCCGGAGUGCGGCAUUAUCAGUGUGGUCUAUCACAGGCACCCAGUCACACCUGGUGUAAGAGCUUGGGCUGGAUAAGCAACCAAACAUUCUGAUUUUUUUUUUUAAAUCCUUGUCAGAUCUGGACAUUUCUCCCUCUGUAUUGGACAGAAAUACAAUAGAAAAAAAGCCUCUCUUGAAGUAUCUUGGUUGCUUUCAGCAAGAACCAGAAAGUCCAGAGGCACACAAAAAUGAUGUAAAAAAGGUUAAGCAAAUCUUUGCAGAUCUUAAACCUACCAACCGAAUCAAACAUCCCACCAACAACAAAUCACCACCACCACAAAUUUGGUUUGAGUUUUUGGGGUAAAGGUUUGGCUCUUUCU